rnacentral:lncRNA from 1 species
AAAAGCCGCCCUUGUAUCCCCUCGUCUCUCAAAAUUCUCUCACCUACCCUCCAAAAUGCUAGCCCAUUUUACUGGUCUCCAACCUUAUUCUUCCGGAAAUCAUGGCCUUUCAAGCCUUGAGCAGCAUGUACCUAUCCCCACAUACCCUUAUGCUCCUUUUGCUCGAGGUUUCCGAGCCCGACUUUGACAACCUUGGCUCAGAAUCUCUCCGAUUCAAGUUUUGUUGCCAUCUCCAGCUCAUCUCCAGCGAGUCCUAGCUCAGUGAGUCCAUCUCGGACUCAGGACCAGCCCGUUCCAAGCCUUUCUCAUUUUUCUAGGGUUUUCUCUGAAACCCUAAGCCCACGAG